GUUUACUUAUGUUAGGUGAGGCUCCUAUAUAGAUAUACGCUACUGCCCGGAAACAUCGAGAGAUGCCAAUGGGUCAACAGGUAUUACCGAAUCAAGGUUUUACUUAAUGUAGCUGGACUUAAUAAAAGUCUAAAGCUAUAUAGUGCUAAAACUCGUACGAAGAAGUUUUA
rnacentral:sRNA from 2 species